ACCUAGACUUGACAUCCCGGGGAUUUUCUGGAAAACAGAGAAGUGCUUUAGCAAUAAGAACCCGGUGACAGGUGCUGCAUGGCUGUCGUCAGCUCGUGUCGUGAGAUGUUGGGUUAAGUCCCGCAACGAGCGCAACCCUCGCCUUUAGUUGCCAGCAUUCAGUUGGGCACGUCUAGAGGGGACUGCCCGGUGUCAAACCGGAGGAAGGUGGGAUGACGUCAAGUCCUCAUGGCCUUUAUGUCUAGGGCUACACACGUACUACAAUGGCCGGUACAAAGGGCAGCCACUCAGCGAUGAGGCGCUAAUCCCAUAAAGCCGGUCUCAGUCCGGAUCGCAGUCUGCAACUCGACUGCGUGAAGUUGGAAUCGCUAGUAAUCGUAGAUCAGCAUGCUACGGUGAAUACGUUCCCGGGCCUU
rnacentral:rRNA from 1 species